UUUUGGGGGUGUUUUUUGGGUACUGGGGAUCAAACUCGGGACCUUGCACUUUCAAGGCAGGUGGCGGGACCACUGAGCUAAAUCCCCGGCCCCUGUUG
rnacentral:sRNA from 1 species